CCCAGCCACCCAUUAGACUGUUCUCUCUGCUUCCGCAUGGCAAGCUGUAUCGGAGUGCCAAGUCUAGGACAAAAAGGCUUCUCAACAGUUUUUACCCCCAAGCCAUAAGACUCCUGACCAGGUAAUCAAAUGGCUACCCAGACUAGUUGCAUUGUGUUCCAACCCCUUCCUGCCCCCGAACAAGGCAGUUAACCCACUGUUCCUAGGCCGUCAUUGAAAAUAAGAACGUGUUCUUAACUGGCUUGCCUAGUUAAAUAAAGGUAACCAAGUGUUUUUUUUAUAGAGGCCUUAAUGAAGGUGUUUUAUUGCUCUGACAUGGGUGAGCUUCUAGAGUCCUCCCAGACCGUUCUUGGCGCUGGCUCGUGCAGAGGAAUUUAGGACCCUGUGGUGUCAGGGCAGGUCUACCAGGUCUCCUCCGCCUGGUAGAUUCUCACAAGGCUGGAGAGCGAGGGUGCCAUAAAUCUGGACCCUGUGGUGUCGGGGCAGGUCUACCAGGUCUCAGCCUGGUAGAGUCUCACAAGGCUGGAUAGAGGGUGCCAUAAAUCUGGACCCUGUGGUGUCGGGGCAGGUCUACCAGGUCUCAACCUGGUAGAGUCUCACAAGGCUGCAUAGAGGGUGCCAUAAAUCUGGAUCCUUUUGUCAAUCCAGGUAAAUGGUUUCUCUCUCCAGGAGGUGAAUGUUUACGCUUGUUUAUAUUGAUGCGUUGUUUAUAACAUGUCUAUAAAGGGCUAUAAGUGUAAUACCAUUUAUUCAUAAACAUAUGUAUAUUGCAUAGUUUUAACUGUUUAAUACUGUUUACAUAUUAAUGACAUGUUUUAUUGCUAUAAAACAUGUAAUUAAUAUGUAAACAGUAUUAGACGGUAAUAACUAUGCAAUAUACAUAUACAAGAUUUCAAGUCAUUAGGAUGACCAAAAAUCACAAACAUCUUCAAAGGAAACUUGUGUGUCUGGUGGUGACUAUCAAGAGUACAGUGAUGGGCCUCAACACCAUGAACAUGGAACUGGACAGCACUUUAGAGUACAGAACCAAACCAGUUAUAAGUAUAUAGCGGCUGAGGGCAUUCACAGCCGACCGCUCAGACUGGUGAGGGCAUUCGCAGCCGACCGCUCAGACUGGUGAAGGCCUUCGCAGCCGACCGCUCCGACUGGUGAGGGCCUUCGCAGCCGACCGCUCCGACUGGUGAGGGCCUUCGCAGCCGACCGCUCCGACUGGUGAGGGCCUUCGCAGCCGACCGCUCCGACUGGUGAGGGCCUUCGCAGCCGACCGCUCCGACUGGUGAGGGCCUUCGCAGCCGACCGCUCCGACUGGUGAGGGCCUUCGCAGCCGACCGCUCCGACUGGUGAGGGCCUUCGCAGCCGACCGCUCCGACUGGUGAGGGCCUUCGCAGCCGACCGCUCCGACUGGUGAGGGCCUUCGCAGCCGACCGCUCCGACUGGUGAGGGCCUUCGCAGCCGACCGCUCCGACUGGUGAGGGCCUUCGCAGCCGACCGCUCCGACUGGUGAGGGCCUUCGCAGCCGACCGCUCCGACUGGUGAGGGCCUUCGCAGCCGACCGCUCCGACUGGUGAGGGCCUUCGCAGCCGACAGCUCCGACUGGUGAGGGCCUUCGCAGCCGACCGCUCCGACUGGUGAGGGCCUUCGCAGCCGACCGCUCCGACUGGUGAGGGCCUUCGCAGCCGACCGCUCCGACUGGUGAGGGCCUUCGCAGCCGACCGCUCCUACUGGUGAGGGCCUUCGCAGCCGACCGCUCCGACUGGUGAGGGCCUUCGCAGCCGACCGCUCCGACUGGUGAGGGCCUUCGCAGCCAACUGUUUUUACGUGGUUCUUCUAGCCGGUUUUAGUGACCAAUAGUUUUUUACGUGGCCCGUCAUUUCUCUGGAUUUAGCGACCAGUAGUGUUUACAAGUAAAUGAUUUAGAAAUGUACAUGUGGUGGUGUUUUUGAUGCCAUGGGGAAUAGUUAGGUCAUUUCUGAACCUUAUUUGGUAACUUUGGGAGUUUUUUGCACAUACUUGAUACUGUAAAUGUUACUAUGCUACUACAUGGAAGGAUUUUAUUUAUACUUUUCCAUUGACUUUGAUUAAAAUAAUAAACACCUGCAUCAGCUAGGCUGGGACUAUACUGCACACUGGAGAGCUUCGUCAAGGGAAACACUCAUGAAAUAUCCCCUAAUUUGGCGACAUAUUUAAAAUGUUUGCAGGAGAGUAAACAGGCAGCUGACAUGGGCAAUGACCAAUCACUACUUUCAAAGGACGACAUUACUCGUCCAUCUAGUUAUCAGUUAUCCAUCUAGUUAUUCACCCACACAUGUCAAAGUCGAACCGCAGUGCUGAUGUUUCUUUACUCUGAGGUCCAACCAUGCUAAUGCAGUGGAGUUGCCAAUUCAUGUUCAAUUGAGCUACGCAGGGGGCGUGGUAAGCGAGGGUCUCAAUAGACUUCAAUAGGAGUAUGGUGGCGAGCGGCAAAACGCAAGUGGUGCGAUUUGUGGUGCCCGCUCCUGUGAGCGGCGCCGCUGGCUUAGAGUUUGAGCUGCCACAAGGUGAAAUGAGUUGAAGUCUUGAGAGGCCGACGCGCAUGGUUGACCUAUGAGCAGAGUACAUCUUGUCCCACUAAGUUUUUUUUUUAAUGACAACAUUCCAGCUGACAAAAACCGUGACUGCUGGUAGACACCUUUUUUUUCUUCUUCUGCGGUUCAAUUGUCGCUUACAGUGUGUAAGUGCCUUUAUCGCGGAGUGAUCCUUCAUGUCGAAGCCACUCGGCAGAGGCGGAGAAGUGGUGAACUCUGAUUUGCGGAGUGCGGGCACAGGUCACGUCAACAUGGAUAUCUAAUAGGAAUGGACCUCAAACUAGGUCCUAGUCAGAGCCCUUGCCCAAAGAUGGAAGCUGCCUAUUUGUGAAAGCGACAAUUCCAUUCCUGCUUCCAAUGUGUAAGAAUAACUGUUUUGGCAGGUGUAAGGAUCAGCUAGUGAGAGGAGGCUGGACUCUGCCCAACAUUCUACAUUUACUCAGUGUUUGAGAGAACAUGUUAAUAAAGAAUUCCAGAACACUGUGAAUUCUCAGAGACCGAUGCUGAGAGACUCACCCUGCACCUCACUGAGUGGAGUUUUUCAUGGUGUACUAGUCAUUGACUUCCACUACUGAGCCUUAUCUACUGCUCGGUCAGUCUCUCCCCCUCUGGGCGAUCAGGUUGUGUAUAAGUGAAGUGUGUUUGUCUACAGGGAAUGUUGGUAGAAGACUCCGGUGUAGGGUAGACCUGCUUGCUAGUUUGCUUCAAAAGUGUCUGCUAAAUGACAUGUAAAUUCACCUGAAUGUUCCUGCAGGUAGAACCCGAUCAUAGGACAAUUUAAACUUCUUGGGCAUUGAUACCCUAGUUACACUGGGCCAUUUUUCCUCCUGAGUGUUUAUUUUUGAUUCAAAAUAUACAUAUAUCAUAUUUGGUUUUAAUGUUUAAUGUGUUGCUAAUGUAUUGAAUAUAUGGUUUAGAACUUUCUAUAACAUUUUUGGUAACGUGAAUACAUUUCUGUGCCAAUAUACAACUUUAGUCCGCCCCCUCGCCCAUACCCGGGCUCGAACCAGGGACCCUCUGCACACAUCAACAACUGACACCCACGAAGCAUCAUUACCCAUCUCUCCACAAAAGCUGCAGCCCUUGCAGAGCAAAGGGAACCACUACUUUAAGGUCUCAGCAAGUGACCGUCACCGAUUGAAACGCUAUUAGCGCGCUCCACCGUUAACUAGCUAGCCAUUUCACAUCCGUUACACCAUCAGGUAACAUACUAGGAGCUACUUUAGAGUUACUAUGUACGAUGUGCAUACAGUCUAUUUAUGUUCGAAAGGAGACUGGUAUCUAAAGAAAUGUCGUCUUAAGGCAAGGAGAAAAACAUGUUAAUAGCUACUGAAGAAUAAACACUGCAACAGCUAGAGUUUAGUCUUCUCUCAUCCCUGUUGUCUGUCAUUUUGUCAAGGCAUAUGAUUCAUGUGUUAGACUACACAUAGAAAAAAGGGUUAUUUGGCUUUCCCUUUUUGGCUAUCCAUACAUUUAAAAAUAGAAAAUGUUGCUGUUUAGUUUAUAUGGAAUUUGAAAUUAUUUUUUACCUUUGAUACUUAUGUAUAUUUAAAAACGAAUACUUGAGUCAUUUUCUAUUAAGGUACCUUUACUUUGAGAGUGAGAGACUCUCCCCUAUUUGACAUUGAUAACAGCAUCACUGUGAAACUAUCCAUUCUUCUGCCCCUGCACUAAUAAUGAUAAACUCAGACCUGUUGGUCAUUACCUCGGUCAAUCACCAACUAACUAGCUGUUCAUUGCCUAACUUUUGUUAACCCCUAAAAAGGACAACUGGGUAUUUUCUAGAAAGUAAAGCUUAGGGAAGCACUUUGCUAAAUAUAACACGUUCACAUGCGUUUCCUGUUGUUUCAAAUUGUCAUUUUUAUCUGCUCUGCAGUGAUACACAUUAUUGUAGAAAUCAAACACAGAUUCAACCACAAAGACCAGGGAGGUUUUCCAAUGCCUUGCAAAGAAAGGCACCUAAAAAUGUAAAAAAAACACUGACUUUCAAUAUCUCUUUGAGCAUGGUGAAGUUAUUUAAUUACACUUUGGAUGGUGAAUCAAUGCACCCAGUCUUUACAAAGAUACAGGACUCGUUUGCUGCAGAGGAAGGAAACAGCUCAGGAAUUUCCCUGGGAGGCCAAUGGUGACUUUAAAACAGUUGCAGAUUUUAAUGGCUGUGAUAGGAGAAAACUGAGGAUGGAUCAACAACAUUGUGGUUACUCCACAAUACUAACCUAAAUGACAGAGUGAAAAGAAGGAAGACUGUACAGAAUACAAAUAUUCCAAAACAUGCAUCCUGUUUGCAAUACGGCACUAAAGUAAAUCUGCCAAAACUUUGUCCUGAAUACAAAGUGUUAUGUAUUUGGUCUGUACCCGCUUUAAGUUAGUUUUAACAGUGGCCAAGUAGGAUACUGUGGCUAUUUGAUCAUAAUGUACCAUCAAAAACUGGAGAAAAUGCAUCCCAUAACAUUUUAACAUGGCUGAACGAUAUAACUUUUUCCAACUGUAGCAAGCAAUGUGUGGUGCUCAAUGUAGUCCUGCAUUCCAUCCAACUUUUGGGGGAAAAAACAUGCAGGGUGUCACGACUCCCGCUGAAGUUGGCUCCCCUGCCUGUUCGGGCGGUGCUCGGCGGUCGUCGUCACCGGCCUACUAGCCGCCACCGAUCCCUUUUUCUGUUUGUUUUGUCUUAUUAGUUGCACCUGUGUCUAAUUGUGUUUUUCUGAUGUGCUUCCUUAUUUAAGGCUAGUGAACCCGCCCCUGUUUUGCGCGGUAUUGAUUUUGUGUUACGUGUUGUUGUCGUUGGGUGUGUUCGUGCUCCGGACCGUGUACCCUGUGUUUUGGGUUGGUCAGUAUUUUUCGCGCCCUGUGUUUUGGGCAUUGGAUUUUGGUGCCAUAUUAAAGUGCACUUUUCCCUGUGAAA